GGCAUUACGGGAUCGUUAAAACACGGCCAAUUUGACAUGUUUGAGAUUUUUUUUUCCUUUUGAUAAUAAACUCCAUGCUCAACAAAUCGAAAUAAAUCUAUUUCAGACCCUAAUGGCAAGUAGGAAACUGAAAAAAAAGAUAAACUUCCAAAUUGGCGCCAAAAAAAAAAUCCGCGAAAUUAACGCAAUUUCAGAAUGGCGGGUUUUAAUAUCAGUCCCAUUGUUGUCUUAAGAAAGUAGCAACAACGGUCGUUUCUAAGGGCUUGC
rnacentral:lncRNA from 1 species